CCCUGGGGGGCAGGGACACUGGCUGGGGGCUGUUCUCAGGUACCCCAUCCAGAGCAGGUGGAGCAUCCAGAGCUCCCUGAGCGGCUCUUACCACAGCCUAGGGCAGUGGCCCCCAAACUCUGGGUUGCAUCCCCCUAGGGAGCACAGAGGAACAUUCGGGGUGGGUGCAGCAGGGCCCAGGUCAGCAUCACCCAGCCCUACUCCACUCUGGCCCUGACACAGCCCUGCCCCCUGCCCUGGCCCUGGCUCUGCUUCUGGCCAUGGCCCCAGCCACAGCUCCAGCCUCACUCCCGGCCACAGCCCCACUCCCAGCCCCCAACUGUGGGUCCCAGCCCCACCACAGGCCCCAGCUCCUGGCAGGGUGCUUAGUGCUACUGAAAGUAACCCUCUCCUUGUUACUGUGCAGGGCAAGAGAACUCAGAGAACAGUGACCAGCACAACGCAAUAAUGAUAAAUGUACAGGAAGCAUCACAACAUUAAUAGAUUUGCACAUUCUGUCUCUAACAAUGUGUAUGGACAAUGCCUGUCUCUGGUGGGACUGCUAAAUGGGAUUGUAAUACAAUCUAUUAUAAUGGAACAAUUCAAACCUGCCUGCAGUUCAUACGCAGAAAAACAAAGUAUCUUAAAAAUG